ACGCUGGCGGCGUGCCUAAUACAUGCAAGUAGAACGCUGAAGGAGGAGCUUGCUCUUCUGGAUGAGUUGCGAACGGGUGAGUAACGCGUAGGUAACCUGCCUGGUAGCGGGGGAUAACUAUUGGAAACGAUAGCUAAUACCGCAUAACAGUAGAUGUUGCAUGACAUUUGCUUAAAAGGUGCAAUUGCAUCACUACCAGAUGGACCUGCGUUGUAUUAGCUAGUUGGUGGGGUAACGGCUCACCAAGGCGACGAUACAUAGCCGACCUGAGAGGGUGAUCGGCCACACUGGGGCUGAGACACGGCCCAGACUCCUACGGGAGGCAGCAGUAGGGAAUCUUCGGCAAUGGACGGAAGCCUGACCGAGCAACGCCGCGUGAGUGAAGAAGGUUUUCGGAUCGUAAAGCUCUGUUGUAAGAGAAGAACGAGUGUGAGAGUGGAAAGUUCACGCUGUGACGGUAUCUUACCAGAAAGGGACGGCUAACUACGUGCCAGCAGCCGCGGUAAUACGUAGGUCCCGAGCGUUGUCCGGAUUUAUUGGGCGUAAAGCGAGCGCAGGCGGUUAGAUAAGUCUGAAGUUAAAGGCUGUGGCUUAACCAUAGUACGCUUUGGAAACUGUUUAACUUGAGUGCAAGAGGGGAGAGUGGAAUUCCAUGUGUAGCGGUGAAAUGCGUAGAUAUAUGGAGGAACACCGGUGGCGAAAGCGGCUCUCUGGCUUGUAACUGACGCUGAGGCUCGAAAGCGUGGGGAGCAAACAGGAUUAGAUACCCUGGUAGUCCACGCCGUAAACGAUGAGUGCUAGGUGUUAGACCCUUUCCGGGGUUUAGUGCCGCAGCUAACGCAUUAAGCACUCCGCCUGGGGAGUACGACCGCAAGGUUGAAACUCAAAGGAAUUGACGGGGGCCCGCACAAGCGG
rnacentral:rRNA from 1 species